AUACUAUUCCUCAGAGGACUGCUGCAUAGCUGGCAGAGUGAUGACAUGUGGACUGCAUUGCUAAUGACACCUUGAGCAGUCUACUUAAGUCAAACUAGGCAGAGCAGGUUCAGCCUGAACCUAAAGAUGGACUGAAGAUCAGGCAAAUGCCGCACAGUAGGAGUGAGGGCUCACUGAGCUCUUAACUGGUCCUCAGUGGUCUGUGUGAGUCAAAGGAGGGGGAAUGCAGGCUCACUCCAUGACUCUCCCCUGGAUCUUGCUGUCCUAUUUGCUAUCUGUGGCAAGGUGGACAAACUGCAUGGCUAGGCCCUGCUCAGUUUUCCACCAGUUGGAGUCUUAAGGGAAGGCAGGCUGACCGACAAAUGAAGCAUUCCUUUGCAGGUUGUUGGUAUCAGGCUGGGGUCCGUUUGAGCUCACUGCAGCACCAAUGUAUCCUAAAAGUUCUGCUGGAGGCAACCCUGUUUGUUCUUCUGCUCAUCAUUGAGCUGUCUGGCUGGAGCCUCUUAUGGCUGUAUGAGUGCUGUGGAAAGCAGGAGCACUCUGCAUGAAUAAUUAUACCUACAAAGUCUCUCUGGUGUAGCCUGUGCUCAGUGUGAACUCACAUCCUGCUGGUCGGCAGCUGAAAGUUGCACUGCAGUUAACACAACGCCAGUAGGUUCUCCCAAUUGCAUCAAAGAGGUACUAAAUGUUUCACUGGAUGCCAGCUGUAUGAGUGCAGGACUCUUACUUUCAAACUAUACCUCACCUGUCCAGUGCUUGAAGUCAAGGGGCCUGGCAGUCUUACACUGUGACUAGGAGCUCCUCAAGUUUCCCCUGGCUUCUAAUCAUCAAGAGUCUGGCAUGUCUGCAAUUCUAGGUAGAAUCCAAUGCUUCAUCUGUUUGAUUCAGGGAGAAGAACAGGCUCAAUACAUGGCUCAGCGAUUCACAUAGUGGCUCUGGUUCAUGGCCUGGCAAGUUCAGGCUCACUGCAUAUUACACAAUGACUCUGCUGAUCUCUCUAUGAUUGUUUCUUUGAGUGUGUGUCCCCUGAAAGCCUAACAAAUCUGACAUGUUCCAGUGUAGAAUAGGCUGGUCUGCAUGAGCUCGUGGUGGGUGUGACUGGCCUUGUGAAGCCUUUUGUUUUCUGCUGGCUUCAGGGCCUUCUCACUGUAUUGCAAAUUAUUCCAUUACAAUAUCCCUGGAGGAGACAGCCAUGAGGGCUGGCUCACUAUGCAGGUAACUAUUCCCCACAGUUUGUGAGAUGCAGAAAGGUAUAUGUGAUGACUCUCUCAG
rnacentral:lncRNA from 1 species